UACGGAGGGAGCUAGCGUUGUUCGGAAUUACUGGGCGUAAAGCGCGCGUAGGCGGCUUUGUAAGUUAGAGGUGAAAGCCCGGGGCUCAACCCCCGGAAUUGCCUUUAAGACUGCAUCGCUUGAAUCCGGGAGAGGUGAGUGGAAUUCCGAGUGUAGAGGUGAAAUUCGUAGAUAUUCGGAAGAACACCAGUGGCGAAGGCGGCUCACUGGACCGGCAUUGACGCUGAGGUGCGAAAGCGUGGGGAGCAAACAGG
rnacentral:rRNA from 1 species